rnacentral:lncRNA from 1 species
UACGAAUACAGGCAUGUGCAUUUUGCCCCUUGAUUGCUAUUUACCUUGUGUAGCCUAUGUCUGAAUUAGGCCAGUUGCAUGCUAAUGAAGGAGUGAUUGUUGGUAACUUCCAGCCUGCUGCUGUGAUUUGCCUGUGCUGAACCCUAGAAACCAUCAACCCUUGAACAAAUGGUCUCUGAGAGACUCCAAGGAGAGUUUUUCUCCCAUCCCCCAGUUUUUCAAGACAGGGUUUCUCUAUGUAGCCCUGGCUGGCUAUCCUGGAACUUGCCCGGUAGAGGCUGGCCUCAAACUCAGAGAUCCACCUGCCUCUGCCUCCCAAGUGCUGGGGUUAAAGGCAUACACCACCACCAACUGGCCCAAGGAGAUUCUUAAAAUAUUGUCUCCCUGCAGGGACACUUUAGGACCAGACACCCAUGUGGCAGAUGUCAAGAGGCUGGAGUCCAGGACAGGCACAUUCUACGGCCUCUAGAAGGAAAAGAAAAGCAAGGGGACUCUCUUGUACAUACUGAGUAACCUGGCAGCAGAGGGCAGGGCCUCAGGUCCUGGAUUGCUUCGUGGCCACUCUGGCUGGUGGGGUGAGGAAGAAGAUGUUGCCAAGGAAGGAGAGAGAAGGGGGUAAGUGAGGGAGGCAUGGCAGGAAGAGGGAACUGGAGUGUGUCCCUGGAGGGUCUUCUCGGGGGAAGAUGCCCUGUCUUUCUAUUUCUACACCUCCUUCCACGCUCUGCUGCUCAGCCAGUCCAUCCUUGUGUGAAUGAAGCUUUAGGCAGGACCAGAGCUACCCAAGGGCAAAGACACAGACUCCCAACCCCAGUGCCUAACUCACUCCUGCUUCCGUGUCUUCCUACAGUUCCGUUCUGGGUCUCCUCUGUGUCCCAGGACUCUCAUCCAGAGACUUGCAGGCAUUUACAGUCCUUCAGGGGCAUUAGGAGGCUGCAUGAGCUGACCCAGCCUGACCCAGUGGGACCCAGCUCUGCUGAUCCUCAUACACGAAGGGGACAUUCAUCACUGGUGCCAUUGUCCCAGUGACUGCAAGGUAAUGCUGUCUGUUACUCAAGGCAAAUAUGGCAGGGUGACAGACAGGGCCUAUCCCCAGGAGUGAGUCUUGUGGAAGGAGAUAGCAUUUGAUACAUGCUAAGGGUGGCAUCUGAACUACUCUAAGGAGUGUAUUGUGCAUGUGCACACAUAUGCAAACAUGCGUUUUCUCCAUUUUAGUCUUCUUCACUCCCCUCUUCCAUUUCUUUCAGCAUGCUUCACUUUGUGUGUAGUUUCUGCUGUGUGAUGCUGUAUCAGUCACUUGACCCCUCUGGGCGCUAGUUUCAUCACCUACCCUAAAGGCCUUUCUAAUCUCACCUGUCGAUUGAAUGUGUGACAUAUCACAGGCUUCCUCAAGUUCCAGUAACAUGGUUCUGACUUUGUCCCAGAGACUGUCACUGGCAGCAGGCCAAACCCACCAUGCAACUAAGCCAAGGACCACUCGGGACCUUCUGAGGUCAGAAUAUUUGGUGGCUGGGGACCCCCUGCCAUGCAGGGUCCAAAUGACACCUCCUCUAAGGAGUCAGUCAUGUGAAGUUUCAUGGAUGAAGGGAGGUUGGAAGGCCCCUGGGGUGAGGGGGGAAAUUAAAGCUUAAUCCCAACACUAAGAAGGCAGAGGAUCUCUUAGAGUUUAAGGCCAGCCUGGUCUACAAAGUGAGUUUCAGGGCAGUCAGGACUGCAUGGAGAUCCCUGUCUCAAAAAAAAAAAAAAAAAAAAAAUUAAAGCUGCUCCCUUGGGUAGGGCUAGCAUAGUGGGAUCUGUGCCUUUGACCCUUUAGUUUGGGCAUGGUAGAAACUGUGGGUCUUCUCAUCCCGGGAAACCAUCACCCCCAAACCAAGGGGGCAAAGGCAGAUGUGAGGUAUUGCUCUCCCAGGAGAGAAGGGAAACGGAGUCACUACUGCUUACUGAGCCCUUACCUCGCCAUGUUGUGGGUCAGGGGUCUCCUUUAUUCUGUGGGCAUGCAUCAUGUUUUUAUUUUUUCAGUUUAUUUAGUUUUUGAGUCAGGGUCUCAUGCAGUCCAGAACUCACCACGUAGCUCAGGCUGCCCUUGAAGCGCAGUCCCUCCUCCCUUCAGCCUCCAGAGUGCUGAUUAUAGUCAGCAGCCACUAUGUGUGCUGCAUCAAUCCCACCUUUAGCUUAAUUAACUUAUUACUUUCCAGCGCUGGAGAUAGGAUCCAGGGUUUUGCAGGUGUUGUGAUGCUGAGCCAGGCUACCAGCCCCUCACUGGGUAAGUAGCAGCUCUGUCAGCGAGGUCGUUCCGGCCCUGCCUCUGCUCCACUCUGAAGAUCUUCCAUUUAUCCACCGCUGUAGAGGCAUGCGGCUCAGGCCUUAGAUGGAAGCUGAGGCUGGGACACGUGCGGAUUGAGGACCUGGGGCGCUGUGACUUGGGCUGAGCUGGCUGUGAGGUCCAUUCAGAUCUUUGUUAGCGGAGCGCCACCUAGUGCUGCUUGUGGGAACUGGUCUGACUUGAAGUUUCUUGGCCGCGAGGUAGAGGAGCCCAGAGAGAGCUGGUAGGCGGGUAUCCCUCCCCUGGCUGUGGAUCCUGACACCUAGAGGCCAAAGUAAGGAGGAAGAGCGGGGCUGGCAGUGCAGGUGUUGACUUUGGCACUAGUCCGACCUUAGUCUUAACCCUGCCUUUGGUCCGACCUUGACUUUACUGUCCCUGUGGUCUGCUCUGUUCUCAACUUCCUACUGCUGAAGUCUCCUUUAAGACAAACCGUGGUACAGCUAGGCAGGUGGUGCAUAUUUGUAAUCCCAACACCCAGGAGGCAGAGGCAGGAGAAUCAGAAGUUCACAGUCAUACUUUGCUAUAUAAUGAGUUCACCGAUAGCCUGGGCUAUGUCAGACUUUAGUACACAUGGGGUGUGGAGGGGGUGAGGUGGGGGAAGAAAAAGAAAAAAGAGCAUUGAUGCAGGGGAGUGUGUGUGUGCGUGAAUCUGGGUAUUAGUGUGUGCAUGAAUGACUGGGUGUUAGCAUGUAUAUCUCUAUCUGUUGUGUGUGAAUGUAUUUCCCUGUGUGUAUGCGAGCACACGUCUGCGUGGGGUGACUCUGUGUGAAUGAAUGAUGCCUUUCGAGUAUUUAUGCAUGUAUCUGUGUUCAUAAGAUGUAAGAGAAAGAGUGUCUGUGUGUGUGAGUGUCUGUGUGAGUGUGUGUGAGUGUGUGUGAGUGUGUGUGAGUGUCUGUGAGUGUCUCUGUGUGUGAGUGUGUGUGUGAGUGUGUGAGUGUGUGAGUGUGUGUGUGUGUGAGUGUGUGUGAGUGUGUGUGUGUGUGUGUGAGUGUGUGUGUGUGUGUGUGAGUGUGUGUGAGUGUGUGUGUGUGUGUGAGUGUGUGUGUGUGUGAGUGUGUGUGUGGCUAUGGGUGUGUGGCUAUCUCUGUGUGUACUUUUGGAUCUUUGUUUACUAUGUGCCUGUGAGUGUAAAUGCAUGUUACACACAGGUGUGCCUCUGUGUGUGACUGCAUCCCCCCCGUGCCUGCAGAUUUUGAGGACAUCUACCUCUCAUGCCUGGCGGCCCUUUUUGGGCUCACAGAUGCCUGGCUGGAUCCAAGGAAGGGCUGCAAACUUCUUCUAGUUCCCCCUCUUAAUGGGAGGUCUUGGCGGGCUCCCCUGCUUUGUGACGACAGUCUGGAAGUAGGUGUGAGGUCCUGGGGUGGAAGGAUGAAGACAAUGCUGUGCAGCCUCCAUUCAGCAUGGACUUUAAUUUCCUAAAAGAUUUAUUAUAUAAAUUUAACUUCUUAAUAUUUAAUUUAAUGUGUAUGAGUGUUUUGCCUGAAUGUAUGUCUGGGCACCACUGUGGAUUUUGUUCAUGUGUUUGUGUGGUGAGUGUGUAUGGAGGUGCACACAUGUGUGCUUGCGUGGCGGCCAGAGGUUGACUUCGGAUAUUAUUAUUCAUAAUGCCGUCUAUCUUAUUCUUGAGACCUAUAACCCAUGCAUCUGUCUGGGCUGGCCAGCCAGAGUGUGUUAGGGAUCCACCUGCCUCCUGGGGCUGGGAUUAGAAGUGUAUGUCACAACACCUGGCUUUUUAUGUGGGUUCUGGGGGCAAAUUCUGGUCUCCAUGCUUGUGUGGCCAGCACUUUGCCAACUGAGCCUUCUCCCAAGCCUCAGCAAUGAGUAACUUAUGGAUUUCUCCAGUGUCAGUCUGCAGAGGUAACCACCGAGCCAUCUGCCCCGUGCUCUCUUCUAGAGUGCAGUUGUGAAGCAUGUCUGUGUAUGUCUGUGGGCUUGUACACAUGCACGUGUGUGGCUGUGUGCAUGCUUUGCGUAUGCACUGCAUGGCAGUACAUGUGCUUGUAUGUGUAUGCUCUGGGGGUGUGCACUGAUGUGUGUGGCAUGCUUUGAGUGUACAUGCAUGCAGGUGUGCAUGUGUGAAAGCAUACAGAUUUCUUGUGUGUGAAUGCUUUGGGUAUGUACACUUUGGAAGUUUGCACUCAUGUGUGCAUCAUGAGGGCACAUGUGCCUUUGUUUGUGUGCUUUGGAUGUAUGCAAACAUGAGAAUGUAUGCUUGUGUGUGUACACUUGUAGUGUGUGCAUGAGUGUGUCUGUAUUUGAGUGUCUGCCUACUCUGAGCAUGUGCAUUUGAAAUUGUGCACAAGCAUGAGUGGUAUGGGUAUGUGCAUGUGUGCAUGUGUGGAUGUGUGCAUGUGUGCACUGUGCAAGUGUGCAUGUGUGCACACUUUGAUUGUCUGCUUGGGUGUAUGCAUGCUCUGAGUGUGUUCAUGCAUGAGUAUGUUUUCGAGCUUGCAUUUGUUUGGGUGUAUGCACUAUGUGCUUGUUUGUGCAAGCCUUGUGUUCAUGCAGGUGUGUCUGUGCAAUCCUGUGUGUGCAUGCAGGUGUGUCUGUGCAAGCCUUGUAUGCAUGCAGGUGUGUCUGUGCAAGCCUGUGUGUGCAUGAAGGUGUGUCUGUGCAAGCCUGUGUGUGCAUGCAGGUGUGUCUGUGCAAGCUUGUGUGUGCAUGCAGGUGUGUCUGUGCAAGCCUGUGUGUGCAUGCAGGUGUGUCUGUGCAAGCUUGUGUGUGCAUGCAGGUGUGUCUGUGCAAGCCUGUGUGUGCAUGCAGGUGUGUCUGUGCAAGCCUGUGUGUGCAUGCAGGUGUGUCUGUGCAAGCUUGUGUGUGCAUGCAGGUGUGUCUGUGCAAGCCUGUGUGUGCAUGCAGGUGUGUCUGUGCAAGCUUGUGUGUGCAUGCAGGUGUGUCUGUGCAAGCCUGUAUGUUCAUGCAGCACAUGGAUGCUGCUCUAACAGCAGUUCCCCAGGCUUCUUGUUCCUCCCUCACCCCAGCUCCACUUCCCACAGGAUGGUGACUGUGGCCUUCACAGGGCAGGGCAGCCACCAACUGGCCCUGGGAGGAGCCCUGCUUGGAUGUGUGUGUAUUGGGACUGGAAGCCUGGCACAAGUCAUCAGCCAAAUUAACUCAAGUUUCCUUUGGGGAAAAAUGUCAUCAGUUAUUUCAUUUGGGUCCAUUUUAGCAAAUUAACUUGUCUAGUAUUUCCUUCUUACUUGUUUUAUUGGGCAGAGGAGGGGAUGUGAAAACAGGAGGGGCUCAGUAGGGAGUAGAGCUCAACUGGGACAGUUGCUGGGAGAAGCUUUCCCUGGGGUUUGUGGCUGAGAUCGGCUGUGGAGGAAAAUGAAUCUGGGCUGAAGUGGGGUCUUGGCAGCAGAUGGGGGUUGACGGGACCUUAGGUCUGCUUGGGACCUGGGGUGGAGCCUACAUUGGAGAGGGGACCUCAGCAGUCAUGUGUUACCCACUUGGAGAGCAAUCCUAAGGUCCGAUGAGGCCUCCUGAAACACAUCAACUCCUGGCCAGAAGAAAUUAGUUCAGAAGAUUCCAUUGGGGCCACUCUAUGUGUCUGAUCUCACUGUAGUCACCGCCACAGGCACUGAAGGGCUCAGGCUAACUGACCUCCAACUUGCCACACACUCAGGUUGAUCUUGAACUUGUGAUCCUCCUGCCUCUACCUCCUGACUGAUGAGGUCACAAGCAUGCCAGACUAGCAUGGUACCCACUGAGGUACAGCCCCAGACUGCUCUUUCUCUUUCUUCCCUCUUCCCCUCUUCUCUCUGUCUCCCUCGUUCCUCCUACCCUCUCUCCCAUUUCCUUUCUCCCUUUUUCUUUCUUUUCUUCCCUCCCCUCCCCGUUCUUUCUUGUUCUGUGUUUUGUGUCUCAAUAUGUAGUUCAGGCUGGCCUUGAACUCCUGACACAUCCAUUAGCUGGGAUUAUAGGUUCUCACCCCAACAGGUAUUAGCUGUGGAUGCCAAUGGCUUCCAUGACUUUCCAGCCUCAUUCCCAGACAGGAAGCAAUAGAAACACCCAGAACAUGUGCAGUAGCUGGCAGUGGAGUGUGACUGAGUGAACACCACCAUCCGUCCAUUUCACAGUUAGGAAUGUGGAGUCUGGGAUGGCACAGUGAGCUGCAUGAGCAUGUAGGUCCCUGUUGACCCCCUCCUAUUUCCACACCCCCUCUUGUGUGUGUUGAGACUGGCAGCCUGGCAACAAGUCAUCGGCCAAAUUAACUCAAGUUUCCUUUGGGGAAAAAUGUCAUCAGCUAUUUCAUUUGGGUUUGUUUUAGCAAAUUAACUCAGCCAGUAUUUUCUCCUUAUUUGCUUUAAUGGGUAGAGGGCAGAGUGUGGAAAUAGGAAGCUCACACAAUGGCCUUGGGGGAAGCCUUCCCAGCUUCUCCCUCGAGACAAACCCUCAUCUCUGUCAGGAACUUGGAGGAAAUACCUCUUUUCUUGGGCUAUGGGGAUAUAAGUGGGGUCACAUAAAGCAUGAGGACCUGAGUUCAAGUCCUGAACACCCAUGUAAAAGCCAGACAUGCUAGUGCAUGCCUGUAACUCCAGUGUGAGGGUGAUGAAAGACAGGACAAUCCAUGGGGCUCACUGGCCAACCAGUUCAGGCGAUUGGUGAACCUCAGGUUCAGUGAGAGACAGGGGCAGAGACGGCACAGCAGGUAAACUUGCUGGUGGUGAAGUUGGUGAAGAGAGAGCUGACAUCUGAGAGUCAUUCUCUGACCUCCACAUGGUGUGCUGUGGUACGCAUGCAAAAUAAAUAAAAACGCAAUAGAAAUAACAUAAAAUAAUAAUGUGGAGAGUUAUUAAGGAAAUAACAUAAAAUAAUAAUGUGGAGAGUUAUUAAGGAAAACACCCAAUGUUGACCUCUGGUCUCUAUGCACACCUAUACAUGCAAGAUUUCUUUUCCCCUCUGGUUGUAGUGUUUGAACUCACAGAGUCCUGAGAAGCCGGCAGGAUCCUGGUUGUUUGACCUGACUCUUUGCUGACAUUUAGGUCCUUUUAGUCAGCCUCCUUUGGACCAAGCAGGAGCCAGGGAGGUGUGGCCAGAUGACCUCCUGUGACCUUGUGUGGCUCAGGCACUAAUCUCCCCCUCCCAUCUCCCAUUGAAUCUGACUUGAGACUGUCUAUUUUUUCGCCCACUACCUUUCAACUCAAGUUAUGGUUUUAUAAAUAAUAUAUACUGCAAGCCAGGCUUGGGAAGGACGUUCAUUCUGCCCUGAAAUAUUUAUAGCCCAGAGUGUCUGCUUUCUUUGCCUCAGAGUCAUUUUUUAGAGUGGAAGGCUGAGAGAGGGGGCGCUAGGCACAUCUUUGACGGCAGUACCUGGAGGAGAGUCCUUGCAGCCCAGCUUUGGGCCGAUCUAUCCUGUGGCUGUAGAAGGGACACAGCAGUUGUGCCUGGGGAUAGUUCCUUAGCCCAAACCUCUUAAAUCAUCUCAGAUGGCUCAGCGCUGAGACAGACUUAGCGCUGCUGUCCUGGGAAUGGAUGGGGCUUUCUAACAUGUGCCUGGAAUAAUAACACAGUGGAUCAGGAUUUGGGAUCUGUCUGGAAUCCUUAGUCCUACGCUGGAAGAUGGGUGCCAGAACAAAGAACUUUACAAAUAGGGAAACUGAGGUGGAGAAAGGAAGAAAGGAGAGAAACACAGAGGGCACACCAUAAUGAAGCAGCAAAUCUGCAUGGUUUUUGUUAUUUGCUUGCUUGCUUGUGGCUGUCACUAGAGUGUGACUGGACACAUACAGGGCCCUGAUGGAAUCUUUUUUUUUUUUUUUUUCACUUUUAGGGAUUGAAUCCAAGGCCUCCCCAUGUUACACCAUCAAACCACAUCCCCAGCUCCUCACUGGGGCAUUCUAGGCAGGGGCUCUACCACUGAGCCACACUCCAGUCCCUCACUGGGGGAUUCUAGGGAAGGACACGGAGGCUGAAAAAGUGCUGAAGGUCAAUGGUCAGGAAGGCACUGUGGGCCUCUCAACUCUGUUACCCGCUGCUGGUGGCCCUGGGAUAUUUACCCUGGGCAGGUGGCACAGCUGUAGU